CAGAGAUGGCUCUGAUCUGACUGAGCCAAACUGUUUCUUUCUGCCCUGAUCUGAGCCAUCUUUCCCUAGUUCUAGGCUCCAGGGUCAGGGCAAGGAGAGAUUUUAUACCUGCAUUUAAAAUGGUGAAGCUUAAGUAUUUCCUAAAGCUCAGCAGAAAACUCUGAAGAACAGCAGCAAAGCAAAGUAUAUUGAAAAGUAUGGACAUUUUAGAAGCACAUAAAACCCAGAUUCAAAUUCUGA